CCUACGGGAGGCAGCAGUUAGGAAUAUUGGGCAAUGGAGGAAACUCUGACCCAGCAACGCCGCGUGAAGGAAGAAGGUUUUCGGAUUGUAAACUUCUGAUCUGUGGGACGAAGAAAGUGACGGUACCCCAGGAGAAAGCCACGGUUAACUACGUGCCACCAGCCGCGGUAAUACGUAGGUGGCGGUCGUUGUCCGGAUUAACUGGGGGUAAAGGGAGCGUAGGUGGUUGGUUAAGUUAAAUGUGAAAGCCCAGGGCUCAACUCUGGAACUGCAUUUAACACUGGUCGGCUAGAGUACAGGAGAGGUAAACGGAAUUUCUAGUGUAGCGGUGAAAUGCGUAGAUAGUAGGAAGAACACCGGAGGCGAAGGCGGUUUACUGGACUGCAACUGACGCUGAGGCUCGAAAGCGUGGGGAGCAAACAGGAUUAGAUACCCCUGUAGUC
rnacentral:rRNA from 1 species